CGUCUAUAUACGUAUAGCAUAUCAAUAAGCGGAGGAAAAGAAACUAACAAGGAUUCCCUUAGUAACGGCGAGUGAAGCGGGAAGAGCUCAAAUUUGAAAUCUUCAAGGUUCUACCUUGACGAAUUGUAGUUUAUAGAAGUGUUUUCUGUUAGUAGAGUGGCAAAAGUUCUUUGGAAUAGGACAUCAUAGAGGGUGAGAAUCCCGUAUUUGGACCAUUUCUUUCUAGCUUUGUGAUACACUUUCAAAGAGUCGGAUUGUUUGGGAAUGCAGUCCAAAAUGGGUGGUAAAUUUCAUCUAAAGCUAAAUAUUGGCGAGAGACCGAUAGCGAACAAGCACCGUGAGGGAAAGAUGAAAAGAACUUUGAAAAGAGAGUUAAACAGUACGUGAAAUUGUCAAAAGGGAAGCGUUUGACACCAGUGUUGUUUUUCUCGAAAAUCAAUUUAAGAAUGUCUUGAUUCUAAGAAGUUGCUAGACUUUAUCAGGCUUGUUUCUUAGUUUUACUUGUAACUUUUUAAUGCACUUUUCGGUUAACAAGUCAACAUCAAUUUCUUUUGUUGUAAAAGGGUAUGAGGAAGGUGGCUUGCUCUUCGGCGCAAGUGUUUUAUAGCCUUGUAUCUCUGCAAUCGGAGAGAUUGAGGUCUGCAGCGUAGAUCCUUCGGGGUUAGAUACAUUUGUGCUAAGCUAUAGCCUUGUAUAGACAACUUGUUGACUAUGCUCAGUCAUGUAGCUUACUCGCUUAUGCUAUUCUACCUACGCUUAGGAUGUUGACGCGCGUGUGUGCGUG
rnacentral:rRNA from 1 species